GUUUAAAUGCGGCUAUGCAACUCCUGCGCGCUCUCUCUCCCUCUCUGUUUCUGAACCCCCUGCUUUACAUGCCCAUUGUUGGGGUUCAGGAAUGCUGUUACUUGUCUGUUUCGGUCAGUCUUGUCGUUGGUCGUUGUGUAGGCCUGUGUCUCUUUGAGUUGACCUAUGUCCGGUUGUCGUCGUGACUUGACUCCAGCGCACGGCGUUGCUGUGCACGUCUUGCUCAACCCAAUCUGGACUUUGGGUCUCUGUGUGUGUUUGGUGCGUUUUGCAAGUAAAGGAGUUAUGACACAAGGCAGACGUAGCAUCAAGUUUCCCUCGCGCCUCUCCGA
ensembl:lncRNA